rnacentral:rRNA from 1 species
UACGGAGGGUGCGAGCGUUGUCCGGAAUCACUGGGCGUAAAGGGCGCGUAGGUGGCUUCUCAAGCGCGCGGUGAAAGCCCGGGGCUCAACCCCGGGUCGGCCGUGCGGACUGGGAGGCUCGAGCACUGUAGGGGCGGGUGGAAUUCCGGGUGUAGCGGUGGAAUGCGUAGAGAUCCGGAAGAACACCGGUGGCGAAGGCGGCUCGCUGGGCAGUGGCUGACGCUGAGGCGCGACAGCGUGGGGAGCAAACAGG